GAGGUCAGUAUCACAGUCAGAAAGUCUACAGUAUCCAGCUGUCUGUCUAUGAAGAGUGACUGGUCCAUAAUUCAACCUCCAGACUUCAGUGAAGAACCUGGACCCUCAGACACAAAACUGAUUAAAGGCCAGAAGAUGGAGGAAGAGAAGGACAGAGGACCUGGAAUAAACCUGUAGGACGAAUUAAAUUCUUAUCUUAAAUAUAUAAGGAACUACCAACGGAGCUACUUAAACUUUAAUCAGUCAAUGGAGACAAUGAAAACAUAUUUGUUUCUGCAGAGGUCAGUAUCACAGUCAGAGAGCAGAGUCUACAGUAUCCAGCUGUCUGUCUAUGAAGAGUGACAGGUCUAAAGGAAAUCCUCCACACUUCAGUGCAGAUCCUGGACCCUCAGACACAAAACCGAUUAAAGGCCAGAAGAUGAUGAAAGAGGAGGACAGAGAACCUGGAAUAAACCUGGGUCAGUACCACAGACACAGCACCACAGAGUCUACAGUAUCCAGCUGUCUGUCUAUGAAGAGUGACAGGUCUAAGGGAAAUCCUCCACACUUCAGUGAAGAACCUGGACCCUCAGACACAAAGUAAGAGA